UACGUAGGGUGCAAGCGUUACUCGGAAUUACUGGGCGUAAAGCGUGCGCAGGCGGUUGUGCAAGACCGAUGUGAAAUCCCCGGGCUUAACCUGGGAAUGGCAUUGGUGACUGCACGGCUAGAGUGUGUCAGAGGGGGGUAGAAUUCCACGUGUAGCAGUGAAAUGCGUAGAGAUGUGGAGGAAUACCGAUGGCGAAGGCAGCCCCCUGGGAUAACACUGACGCUCAUGCACGAAAGCGUGGGGAGCAAACAGG
rnacentral:rRNA from 1 species